CCUACGGGAGGCAGCAGUGGGGAAUAUUGGGCAAUGGAGGAAACUCUGACCCAGCAACGCCGCGUGAAGGAUGAAGGCUUUCUGAUUGUAAACUUCUGUCUCUAGGGAUGUAAAAUGACGGUACCUCGUAAGAAAGCCACGGCAAACUACGUGACAGCAGGCGCGGUAAUACGUAGGGGGCGAGCGUUGUCCGGAAUGACUGGGGGUAAAGGGAGUGUAGGCGGCAUAUUAAGUUAUGUGUGAAAGCCCGCGGCUCAACCGCGGAAUUGCACAUGAACCUGGUAAGCUGGAGUGCAGGAGAGGUAAGUGGAAUGCCCGGUGUAGCGGUGGAAUGCGUAGAUAUCGGGGGGAACACCAGAGGCGAAGGCGACUUACUGGACUGUAACUGACGCUGAGGCUCGAAAGCGUGGGGAGCAAACAGGAUUAGAUACCCGUGUAGUC
rnacentral:rRNA from 1 species